UACGGAGGGUGCAAGCGUUGUUCGGAUUUACUGGGCGUAAAGCGCGCGUAGGUGGGUGAACAAGUCGGAAGUGAAAUCUUGAGGCUCAACCUCGAGGCUGCUCCCGAAACUGUUCGCCUAGGGACUGGUAGAGGCUGGUAGAAUUCCCGGUGUAGCGGUGGAAUGCGUAGAGAUCGGGAAGAAUACCUGUGGCGAAGGCGGCCAGCUGGGCCAGAUCCGACACUGAGGCGCGAAAGUGUGGGGAGCGAACAGG
rnacentral:rRNA from 1 species